AUCGGGAAGAGAAGCGUGAGCUCUCCUGAUAUCCAAGGCUAAGAGCACCUGCAGAGUAAGCAAACACAGAGCCACUUUCCACUGCUCCGAGCCCCACAAAAAAAGCAAACCAUUCCCUAAAACUCCAAUACUGUUGGGAGGAAGAAAGCGCCAAGGCGAAAACGAAGGACUUGAGGAAAACCUGAAUAUAAGCCAAGAAAAGUCUACACCGGAAGACGAUUACGGUCUGGGGAAAGUAAAAAGCACCACAACCGCAACCACGUGUUUACAUUUCCACCACUCAAGAAUCAAAACAAACCGCGUGGCCCCGCCCAGUGCCCGUCACGUGACUUUCGCGCGCGUUCCGCUUCCGGAAGAGCCCGGUAGCGACCGCUGCGACUCUCACCAGUUCUGCGCCUGCAGACCCCGGGUUUUGGCCUCUCUCUGACCUGGCUCCCGCUCCACUUCACUUUUGGGUUCGGGUGGAGCCCGUGUAGUGAUCUCCAUGGCAGCAGACUCCGGGGCGAUCACUAAUGAGGACUCUGAAUCUGGAGAGGAAGAAGGUAAACAUGUCAAACCUUUUACACCAGAGAAAGCGAAAGAAAUUAUAAUGUCUUUACAACAACCUGCAAUCUUCUGUAACAUGGUUUUUGAUUGGCCAGCCCAACACUGGACUGCAAAACAUCUUUCUGAGGUCCUUCAGGGCAAGCAGAUACGAUUCAGGAUGGGAACGAAACGCACAGAUACAGCUCCUCAGUUUGAAACAACAUGUAGUUAUGUAGAAGCUACACUUGAAGAGUUUCUGACCUGGAACUGUGACCGAUCUAGUAUUUCUGGACCAUUUAGAGACUAUGAUCAUUCCAAAUUCUGGGCUUAUGCUGACUAUAAAUAUUUUGUCAGUUUAUUUGAAGACAAGACAGAUAUUUUCCAGGAUGUGAUAUGGUCUGACUUUGGGUUUCCUGGAAGAAAUGGACAGGAAAGUACAUUGUGGAUCGGCUCCAUGGGGGCCCAUACACCCUGUCAUCUGGACACCUAUGGUUGCAACCUAGUAUUCCAGGUACAAGGAAGGAAAAGAUGGCAUCUCUUUCCUCCUGAAGAUACUCCUUUCCUUUAUCCAACUAGAAUCCCUUAUGAAGAAUCUAGCGUGUUCAGUAAAAUCAAUGUUGUCAAUCCUGAUUUAAAACGUUUUCCUCAGUUUUGGAAGGCUCGAAGACAUAUGGUUACCCUGAGCCCCGGACAGGUUCUGUUUGUCCCCAGACACUGGUGGCAUUAUGUGGAAUCCAUUGAUCCUGUCACUGUCAGUAUAAACUCAUGGAUUGAGCUGGAAGAGGACCACCAAGCCCGGGUAGAAGAGGCAAUCACCCGCAUGCUUGUGUGUGCCCUGAAAACUGCAGAGAAUCCACAUGAUACCAGAGCUUGGUUAAACCCAACUGAGGUUGAGGAAACAUCCCAUGAAGUCAAUUGUCGCUACUUAAAUGGAGCCGUUUCUGCUUUUUUUGAUCAUUAUGGAACAUCUAAGGUAGUAGAAACCCAAGCGCUGAGCACAAACGGAGAGUACGUGAUAAAGGAAGAUUUAAAUGUGCACAGCCACGUGGAGGUAGAACAAACUAGUAGCCACAACUUAACCUUGGGAACAGUAAAACAGGAGGCAGCAAGUCCCUUUGGUCCUGAUCUGGUUCCUGUGAUACCAGGUUCCCAAGAACCACCCUCAGAAAGAGGAGGCAUGUUUGAAAGUGAUGGUGAAGACUUCGUUGGCAAAAAUGGAAAACGCUUUGGAAAAUUGCAUUAUACCAAGAGACAACGAAUGAUGAGUGAAAGUGAGAAUGCAGUUGUGGAACAAAUUGCUUCAAAUAGUACGGUGGCCCCUUCCCUUCAAACAUUCAUUUCUACAGAUGACUUGCUGGAUUGCUUGGUGAAUCCACAGUGUUUCCAGAGCUCUGGAUUCUGGAUCCUCUCAAUCUGCAAAUCAAUAAGGAAAAAUUUGCUGUCAGUGCCAAGAGCCCUUGGCAAGAUACAACAGAUGAAACAUGACCAUUAUUUCUCAUGAGUAUAUACAAAUUACAAUAAACAGCAAAUUCAAUGCCAGAUGGCAGCUUUCUACGUUCAGAAGUCUUUCUAGAUCCAGUUUCACAGAAACAGGCCUUGUAUAUAUGCUGCUGAAGUGAGCACAAACCCUUUUAAAAUUUAAUAACCACACAAAGAAAAUUAUUUCAAGUAAUUUUGAACACAGUAAUCUGAGUCUGUAUUCCUAGUAGGAUAAAUUCUAAGCUUUACUUAGUAGGCUUAUUUUAGCAGCAGGCUUCUAUGAUAGACUACUUGUAUCAGACCAAACGUCUUGCCAACAACUACUAGAAGAGCUAGUGGGAAAAAAGUCUGUUUGAAGGCAACAAGGAUUUGAGCCAAGUUCCUGGAGAGAAGGGAAGUGCAGAAGUGAAACAAAGUCAGAAGAUAACAGAAUAACUUCUUCAAAGUGCUUAAAGAAAAUAACUACCAAUUCAGAAUUUUGUACCCAGCAAAAAUAUCCCUCAAAGAAUGAGGGUGAAAUAAAUUUUCAGACAAACUGAGAGACUUCAUCACUACCAGACUUGCACUAGAAGAAAUACUAAAGCCAGAGGAAAAUGACCCCAGAUGAGGCACAGAAAUACAAGAAGGACUGAAAAGCAGUGGGAUGAAAGGGUAAAUAUGUAUAUUAAAUUAUAUACAUAUUAUAUACACACACACACACAUAUCU